UACAGCCAUAUCACUUUGAAACACUGGUUCUUGUAUGAACAUCAAAGUUAAGCAAUGUUAAGCCUGGUCAGUACCUAGGUUGUUGACUGAUUGGGAAUACCAGGUGCUGUAU